rnacentral:rRNA from 1 species
UGUUGCUUAGCGUUGGGAGCCUACAGCCUGCUGUAGCUCCUUAAAGGUAGUGGCGGAGUCGGUUCACACUCUAGACGUAGUAAAAUCUUUAUCUCGCCUAUGGAUGAGCCGGCGCCUUGCCGUAAAACCCCUAAUCUUUCACAAGGUUGACCUCGGAUCAGGUAGGAAUACCCGCUGAACUUAAGCAUAUCAAUAAGCGGAGGAAAAGAAACCAACAGGGAUUGCCCUAGUAACGGCGAGUGAAGCGGCAACAGCUCAAAUUUGAAAUCUGGCCUUCGGGUCCGAGUUGUAAUUUGCAGAGGAUGCUUUGGGCGCGGUGCCUUCCGAGUUCCCUGGAACGGGACGCCUUAGAGGGUGAGAGCCCCGUACGGUUGGACACCAAGCCUCUGUAAAGCUCCUUCGACGAGUCGAGUAGUUUGGGAAUGCUGCUCUAAAUGGGAGGUAAAUUUCUUCUAAAGCUAAAUAUUGGCCAGAGACCGAUAGCGCACAAGUAGAGUGAUCGAAAGAUGAAAAGCACUUUGAAAAGAGGGUUAAAUAGCACGUGAAAUUGUUGAAAGGGAAGCGUUUGCGACCAGACCUUUUCCCAGCGGAUCAUCCGGUGUUCUCACCGGUGCACUUCGCUGGGUUGAGGCCAGCAUCGGUUUCCGCAGGGGGAUAAAAGCCUGGGGAACGUAGCUCCCUCGGGAGUGUUAUAGCCCCUCGCAUAAUACCCUUGCGGGGACCGAGGACCGCG